AACGAACGCUGGCGGCAUGCCUAACACAUGCAAGUCGAACGAGACCUUCGGGUCUAGUGGCGCACGGGUGCGUAACGCGUGGGAACCUGCCCUUAGGUUCGGAAUAACUCCCGGAAAGGGGUGCUAAUACCGGAUAAUGUCUUCGGACCAAAGAUUUAUCGCCUUUGGAUGGGCCCGCGUUGGAUUAGCUGGUUGGUAGGGUAAAAGCCUACCAAGGCGACGAUCCAUAGCUGGUCUGAGAGGAUGAUCAGCCACACUGGGACUGAGCCACGGCCCAGACUCCUACGGGAGGCAGCAGUGGGGAAUAUUGGACAAUGGGCGAAAGCCUGAUCCAGCACUGCCGCGUGAGUGAUGAAGGCCUUAGGGUUGUAAAGCUCUUUUACCCGGGAUGAUAAUGACAGUACCGGGAGAAUAAGCUCCGGCUAACUCCGUG
rnacentral:rRNA from 1 species